GCGAAAAUAGCUCAGUUGGUAGAGCACGACCUUGCCAAGGUCGGGGUCGCGAGUUCGAAUCUCGUUUCCCGCUCCA
rnacentral:tRNA from 1 species